rnacentral:rRNA from 1 species
GUGGGGAAUUUUGGACAAUGGGCGCAAGCCUGAUCCAGCAAUGCCGCGUGUGUGAAGAAGGCCUUCGGGUUGUAAAGCACUUUUGGCAGGAAAGAAAUAGUGCGUGCUAAUACCAUGCGCGAAUGACGGUACCUGCAGAAUAAGCACCGGCUAACUACGUGCCAGCAGCCGCGGUAAGACGUAGGGUGCAAGCGUUAAUCGGAAUUACUGGGCGUAAAGCGUGCGCAGGCGGCUUUGUAAGACGGAUGUGAAAGCCCCGGGCUCAACCUGGGAAGUGCAUUCGUGACUGCAAGGCUAGAGUGUGUCAGAGGGAGGUGGAAUUCCGCGUGUAGCAGUGAAAUGCGUAGAGAUGCGGAGGAACACCGAUGGCGAAGGCAGCCUCCUGGGAUAACACUGACGCUCAGGCACGAAAGCGUGGGGAGCAAACAGGAUUAGAAACCCUAGUAGUCC